CUGUUGUGCUAGGAAACAGGUUCAAGGGGUUCCUCAUGCCACCGUUCCAGAAGUGGAACUCUUGAGAGAGUUUAUUCUUAACCUAUCUUGGGACCAUAGCAGUGAGAAGGGUAGAAGACUCCGUAUAUGCCUGUGCAAGUGUUGGAGGCACAAAUCUAAUUAAGCCAAGAAAAGGAAAUAUGCUGGCACAUAUGAUUGAAGGAACAACUGUCCCAAAAGAAGCUGCUAAGGCUCUGUCUCUCCCUCUUUCUUUCAACUUGGCCUCUCCCACAGAGGCUUCCUCCUUAGAUUGGCUCUCUGCACAAGCAGCCCCAGGCUUGUGCUGUGAGCUCACUGAUCCAGGGAGGGAAGUUUUCUUUCUUCCACAGUACCAAUCUCACAGAGGGCCAGUGAUUAGCCUCAUGCCAGUCACAUACCUCCUCUUGUGCCAGUCACUGCAGUGAGGGGUGCAAAGAAUGGUUAUGUGCCAACUGAGGUAGAUCAGGCAUGAUGUAUUCCAGAGCCACAUGGGGUGAGGCAGGGCCCUUCCCAGCAGAAAGAGGGGUACUGGUUUGGAAAGUCAAACCAAUGGCCUCUACUUGCCCCUCUAAUUUAAAAUGUGUAUAUAGGCAGGCACACACAGUUUUAUUUACAAUUGCUCUUCACACAUCGUAAACCUCUUUCACAGAUUCAGAACUUAAAAACAAACUUUGUGAGAGUCUGUAUCUCUCUUAACUGCACUCUGCAUGCAAAAAUGAAUGGCCUUUUCCUGAAAUGCUGAAAUGAAUUCAAGUUGUGCAAGUCAAACAAAGAGCAAACUUGAAUCCUACCCAGAGGUAAACUUCUCCAAGAGGGCUGCGGUUGCUUGGCUUUAAUAAAUUGAAAUUACAGAAUGGCCUUCGACAUGGCAAUUUUCACAUCAUUUUGGACAUCAAAUUGAUUUUGACUCUGUUUAGAUGGCAGUGAGGCUGAAAACUCUGACUCACAGAAGUUCAGGAUAACAAAUUGAUCUUGCCUAGCUUUGGGGGAUGAGGGGAGCCUCUCUGUGUUGGUUUCCACCAGCAUGAGGUCAUAUCUGGUAGCUUGUGCCUCUUGGAGGUCAUCUGGGGCAGCAAGCACCGGCUGCCCUGUCCAGGGUCACACAGACUAGAGGACAAGGGAGGUACCCACAUUGUCCUGUGGGUAUUUGCACACUGUGUUGGUGGACACAGCCCCCUGAUUCUGUUGCUCAGCCCAGCCUGCAGUGGCCUGGCCUCUAGCUCUGGAAGGUUCUCUUUUGUCUUCCUCAUUCCACAUUCCAGUGUCUUCUUGGCCAGAGGGCUUCACUGUUCUUCAGCAGCUUCCACGAUGGGCUUGGGUUUACCUCAUCCAUGUAGCUACACGCAUCUGCCAGCAAAACCAAGGCCCAAGCCAGCUCCUCUCUUGAAAUUCUUCCAAGUGUGUCUGUCAUCCUUGGAGCUCUUCUUGUCUUCCUCCACAUCCCACAUUGGUGAUCUCAUCCAUUUUGUUGCUUUCUGCACCCUCAGAAUGUCAAUGGCUCCCAGUGAUUCUUCAAUGUCUUCAGUCAGAUCAUGUCUGUCCUCCACUCAAAACCCCACAACAGCCCCCCAUCAUUCAUCUGAGGAGACAGCAUCCUUACAGUCUGUGAGCAUGCACAGACCAUCACCCUCUGCCAGACUGAUGGCCCAAGGAUGAGUCCAACACCUGCUUUUCCUUCAGGAGUUCAUGACUUUAUAAUCCAAUCCACGUCAUCCAUGUUUUAAUAGAAUAAAGUACAGACUGCUGUGAGAGUCUAGAAGAGUGACUGGCUCUGUUUGCAG